rnacentral:rRNA from 1 species
AACGAACGCUGGCGGCAGGCUUAACACAUGCAAGUCGAACGCCCCGCAAGGGGAGUGGCAGACGGGUGAGUAACGCGUGGGAACAUACCCUUCUCUACGGAAUAGCUCUGGGAAACUGGAAUUAAUACCGUAUACGCCCUACGGGGGAAAGAUUUAUCGGGGAAGGAUUGGCCCGCGUUGGAUUAGCUAGUUGGUGGGGUAAAGGCCUACCAAGGCGACGAUCCAUAGCUGGUCUGAGAGGAUGAUCAGCCACAUUGGGACUGAGACACGGCCCAAACUCCUACGGGAGGCAGCAGUGGGGAAUAUUGGACAAUGGGCGCAAGCCUGAUCCAGCCAUGCCGCGUGAGUGAUGAAGGCCUUAGGGUUGUAAAAUUCUUUCACCGGGGACGAUAAUGACGGUACCCGGAGAAGAAGCCCCGGCUAACUCCGUGCCAGCCGCCGCCGUAAAAC